rnacentral:lncRNA from 1 species
CCUUAUCCUCAGGUGGCACUCCAGUAAAUCGUGCAGAUCGACGACUUCCUCUCAUCCUGUUUUCUGAAAAACAGUACACAUCACAGAAACGUUAGCAUCAUAUGGUUCAUGUGGGCACACAUGAACCCGCAUCACAUACAUAUCAUUCAUAUCAUAGCAUUAAUGCAAAUGUAUAUAAUCAUGGCAUUUCACAUCAUCAUACAAGAAAGGAAUCCACAUCCUAUCCUAGUGGACAUGACCUUUC